UACGUAGGGGGCGAGCGUUUGUCCGGAUUCAUUGGGCGUAAAGCGCGCGUAGGCGGCUCGACAAGUCGGCCGUGAAAUCUCCAGGCUCAACUUGGAGGGGUCGGGCGAGACUGUCGGGCUCGAGGUGGGCAGAGGGCAGUGGAAUUCCGGGUGUAGUGGUGGAAUGCGUAGAGAUCCGGAGGAACACCAGUGGCGAAGGCGGCUGCCUGGGCCUGGCCUGACGCUGAGGCGCGAAAGCGUGGGGAGCGAUCCGG
rnacentral:rRNA from 1 species